rnacentral:rRNA from 1 species
CCUACGGGAGGCAGCAGUGAGGAAUAUUGGUCAAUGGGCGCGAGCCUGAACCAGCCAAGUAGCGUGAAGGAUGACUGCACUACGGGUUGUAAACUUCUUUUAUAAAGGAAUAAAGUGAGGCACGUGUGCCUUGUUGUAUGUACUUUAUGAAUAAGGAUCGGCUAACUCCGUGCCAGCAGCCGCGGUAAUACGGAGGAUCCGAGCGUUAUCCGGAUUUAUUGGGUUUAAAGGGAGCGUAGAUGGGUUGUUAAGUCAGUUGUGAAAGUUCGCGGCUCAACCGUAAAAUUGCAAUUGAUACUGGCAGUCUUGAGUACAGUUGAGGUAGGCGGAAUUCGUGGUGUAGCGGUGAAAUGCUUAGAUAUCACGAAGAACUCCGAUUGCGAAGGCAGCUCACUGGACUGCCACUGACGCUGAGGCUCGAAAGUGUGGGUAUCAAACAGGAUUAGAUACCCUUGUAGUC